rnacentral:lncRNA from 1 species
CACAACUAGCUUCCUAAUAAACAAUUCCAAGCCAGUUUAAGGUCCUCAAGAAUACCAUGUAGCUCAACCUCCACGAGGUCUAUAAAGCUUGGCAUACAAUGGAAGUCUUAUACUCAUUGACCACGAUUAUCUCGAAAGUACUCCUAGUUGUCACAAGACCAAAGUUACCACGCACUGAAUCAUUAGUGUUAAGCUCAUGUCAUCUUUCGUGGAGAACUUUCCGAUUCACCCACAUAAGUUGAACGAAUCUAUUAUAGUUGACACG